ensembl:lncRNA
UUCCACCAUGUGCCUGAGCACAUUGUCUUGAACUCCAUCAGCCUUGGCGCUGUGACGUUCCCUGGGGAGCCUGCUCCAGUGUGAAAGGGACCUAUCUGAUUUUCAUUUAUGCCUCAGCAUAAGUUAUAUUCUUACAGGGGCUGACCCCGGAAAGAGUUCUCUUGGCAGCCACUCACGGCAGACACAGCCUCCAGGACUAGAUUGUGAGUGAAAAGCCCGGAUGCCUGCCAAAAAUGCCCGCCAAGCCGGGCUGUGGGAGGACCUUAGCACAGAAAAGCAGUAACUGCGAUGCUGCAGAGGACGCUUUGUUUGAGUUUCUCAGAGGGAGCGGCACCUUCCCUGCAGGAUCCGCUCUGCCCCCACACCCCCUGGACUUUUUCUACCUGUUGUCCUUCUUCCCUGCUUCAUCUUUCCCACAAAUCAUCCUGUCAUCGUGACGAUCGCUCUGCUGCAUCCCCCACGGAGCGGGCGCCGCUGCACCCAGCCAUCCCCACCGUGCUUCCUGGGCACGGCCAUCCCUGCCGUGCUUCCCGGGCACUGUUAUAAAAAGAGGGAUUAUAAAGUUAUGUUAACCUUGUUAUAAGGUUGUUAUUGUUGCUAAUCACUUACCUGUGUUCAUUCCUGGUUAGAAAUCCUCCUGUGUUAGGUGCUGUUUCGCUGUGCUGCCAGCUGUUGCUUCCUGGAAAAUGGUGACCGGGCCUGUGAGGAGGAAGUGACAUCAGAGACAGUAUGCAAAUGCAAGAACUCCUCAGAAAACACACUAAAAUCCCCUGGAACUACGAGCCUGCACAAAAUUAUGGACCGGGACACUUGCAGAAGCUGGGGGCUCGUCUGGGAUUGCCCACGCCCGAAGAGGACACCAGGACUGGCCAUCUUGGACCUCCAGGCAGUCGCCUACCUCUGGACCUGAAGAUCAACUCGGGACUUGGGAUGAAGAGGAGCGCCGGAUUGGUGAGAACCACCGGUGGCGGGAGAAAGGAGGCGAGCGAGUGGGGUGUAAAUGAGAUGAGGGCUGGCAGCUCGGACCCUCGAAGUGAGUGAGAACCCCCUAGUACCGCGGUUUCAGACUCCCGCGAGGGGGCCGGCCGGGAACGAGGGGAAGCGAGUGAAAUUGGAGAGUGAGAGGCGUCUCCUGAAGGGAGGAUAGGCAUUGGAAGUCCUGAUGAAGGAGGUCAGGCAUUGAAGUCCUGGCGAGGGAGGCCAGGCGAAAGCCCUGCCGAAGGAGGUCAGGCAUAAAGUCCUGGCGAGGGAGGCAAGGCAUUGGAAGUCCUGACGAAGGAGGUCAGGCACUGGAGUCCUGGCGAGGGAGGCCGGGUGUUUAAAGUCUUGAUGGAGGAAUGCAGGGAUAGAGGUAUUAUUUGUGUUGCCUGUCAGUUUUUUCCUUUCAGGUAGAGGCACCUUUUGUUUUGUUGAUUAGAAAGUCUUUCAAGGAAUUCCGUUCCAGCAAGGUGAAUUUCAGUUGAAUAAUAAGAUUUGUGUUGCCUUUCAGUUCGAUUACUUUUGGGUAGAGGCACCUUAGGAUUAUUGUUUUUAUUGGUAAGAGGGAGGUGGGAGCCGUAGGUAGUAAGAAGACAGGGGAUCGAAAGAUUAAGGGGAAGGGGAAGAAGAGGAGAGAUAUUCCCCCCGAUAAGUCCCUUGGGAGAAUUGC